CUCGAGUUGUCUCUCAUGUCUAGACCAUUUGUGAGAAGGGAUUUACUGUUUGCACCAUCCACCUCACCAAUCUCUAAAUCUGCCAUUAGUAUUAUGCUCAUUUAAGAAAAUUAGCAUCUAGAAAAUAGGUACAUAAAGUGCAUGAAUGACUUUUGCAGAUGCUGUACACAUAAUUUUUUUUUAUAGAAUCAGUUCAUGCUGGUUCUCCAAAUCAUAUACAGUUUUGGACAUAUAUUUUUCCUAAGAGAUGUCAAACGUCUAUAUGGAUUGUUAGAAGGUUCAUGAUAUCUUAGAAUUUGUAGCUUGCACUACUUAGCUACAUUAGUUCACUUGUUAAAAGUUGGGAAGUUGGGGAGGUGCUGGGUUAUUCCCUUCUCAUCGAUGGUCUAGAUGUGCGAGGUGACUCUCAUAGUGU
rnacentral:pre_miRNA from 1 species